rnacentral:misc_RNA from 1 species
AAGGAGCAUCUCUUUCGCUCGCCGCACACAGGUGUGGUUGAGGAAAGCAGAGGCCAUUUCGUUCCCGUAUGUGGAACGGUGGAUGCUCAUGGGUGGACGCUGACAAGCAUUCGUUUUCAUUACUGCCGGCCUCAGUGCUGGUGGGAGAACAAAUUAUAUCGACAUACUGUUGGGUCCUGAGAGAACACGUGAGUGUUUCCUCUCUAGGAAGUAACGACAAUGUUUAGGCGCAGUCAUACCGCAUGGAUUCUUUCUUGUUGGUGUCUGCUUGAAGCCUGAGUGUUGUGUGUUGUUUGAGAACUGCACAGUGGACGCGAGCAUCUUUGUU